rnacentral:misc_RNA from 1 species
AAAAAAGAAACCGGGGGAGGGAACUAUAUUCAAGUAACACAAAGGUCAGAAAACAUAAAUGAAAGAGAAGAAAUCAUCAAACAAGAACCAGGUAACUAAAUACUUGGCCAAAGCUAAGUUGCAAUCUCCUGAAUCCCAUGUCGAGAAGGUUUUAGGACACCAUUGCAGCAGUUUCAUCUUCUUCGGCCUCUCCGGCUGGCACUUCGUUAAACAUAUACUGGCUCUGAUACUCCAUCAAGUACUGUGUGGAUCUCUUCACAUCAUAAAACAGAUUAUAGACUCGAGUAAUAUCUUCCACUUCAACAGCCUUCCCUUUGCGCUUUUGGCAGGCCAAUGCUGCAGAAGUGAUAAGAUGGAUGGCGUAUCUCAAAGAAGUAUUAACCCCGAUCUUGGUCAAUAAAACUUUUGCAUCCUCAGACAUUUCUACAUCCUCCUCUUGGCAUCUGAUGUCCAGGAUUUUGCGAAUUUCUUCCUCUUUGUAAGGUUGUGUAGAGAUGAUGAGCAGGCGAUCAAGAAAGUCAAUUGGAAUCCCGUGUGGGGAUCUGUAGUUUGUUCCCCGGAUUGUAGUAAUGCCUCUAUUUGUAGCAACAACCAAUAUAGGUGCCAUGUCAUUCUCCAGAGCUCGGUUUAGGAAAGAGAAACACUCAAUGUCAAGCAUAUGUACUUCGUCAAUGAAGAGGACACCGGGCACAAUCUCUGCCUUCCCUUCCUCCCUCCACUCAGCAACCUUGGUAUCUAUUUGUUCUCUCACUUCAGCACGAAUCUCACCAGUAUCACCCGUAAAUAGUGCUAAAAAUCCCUGUGUUCUGCUAUUUAUGACAUCGAUUUCGUGAAGGGUAACGCAAUGAACAAUCUCCUUGCGCUUCUGCAGCUCCCCUUCAGGACAUUGUACAAACUUAGUCUGAGGUCCCAUAGCAUCAUAAUCCCUCGACCUUGAAAACGACCUCCCCAACUUCGUAAUCUUCCCAGAAGCCUUGUCAAUAGCAAUAACAUCCCCACUCUGUACUUUCUCCUUCCCCAAAGCCUCAAUCAUCUUCGCCCCCAAAUCAUAA